rnacentral:rRNA from 1 species
CCUACGGGGUGCAGCAGUGGGGAAUAUUGCACAAUGGGGGAAACCCUGAUGCAGCGACGCCGCGUGAGUGAAGAAGUAUUUCGGUAUGUACAGCUCUAUCAGCAGGAACGAGACAAGACGGUACCUGACUAAGAAGCCCCGGCUAACUACGUGCCAGCAGCCGCGGUAAUACGUAGGGGGCAAGCGUUAUCCGGAAUCACUGGGUGUAAAGGGAGCGUAGACGGCUGAGCAAGCCUGAAGUGAAAACCCAGGGCUCAACCUUGGGACUGCUUUUGAAACUGAGUAGCUAGAGUGCAGGAGAGGUAAGCGGAAUUCCUAGUGUAGCGGUGAAAUGCGUAGAUAUUAGGAGGAACACCAGUGGCGAAGGCGGCUUACUGGACUGUAACUGACGUUGAGGCUCGAAAGCGUGGGGAGCAAACAGGAUUAGAUACCCGAGUAGUC